UACGUAGGGGGCGAGCGUUGUCCGGAAUCAUUGGGCGUAAAGAGCGUGUAGGCGGCUUGGCAAGUCUGACGUGAAAUCCCGCGGCUCAACCGCGGUAGGUCGUUGGAAACUGCCUCGCUAGAGUCCGGAAGAGGAGAGCGGAAUUCCUGGUGUAGCGGUGGAAUGCGCAGAUAUCAGGAAGAACACCCGUGGCGAAGGCGGCUCUCUGGGACGGUACUGACGCUGAGACGCGAAAGCCAGGGGAGCAAACGGG
rnacentral:rRNA from 1 species